ensembl:miRNA mir-5593.1 ncRNA
GAUGGCUGGAAUAUCGGUAUUC